rnacentral:rRNA from 1 species
AGUGAACGCUGGCGGCGUGCCUAAUACAUGCCAGUCGAACGAACGCACAAUAAGCGUUUUCCUCUACGGUUGGCGAGUGACGGAUGGGUGAGACAUAGAUAAGCUUCCUCUAUUUCGUGGGGGACUUCGUGAGGACACUUAUGCUAACACCGCAUAUGAUCAACGGGUGAAAUCAAUAGUGAUUGAGAGUUUUGCUGAUUCUUUGAGCCGGUGUCGGAUUAGCUAGUUGGCGAGGUAAGGGCCCACCAAGGCGACGAUCCGUAGCUGGUCUGAGCGGAUGAUCAGCCACACUGGAACUGAGACACGGUCCAGACUCCUACGGGAGGCAGCAGUAGGGAAUAUUCCGCAAUGGGCGCAAGCCUGACGGAGCAAUGCCGCGUGAGUGAUGAAGGUCUUCGGAUCGUAAAACCCUGUUAUUAGGGAAGAACAACAGUGUAAUUAUCUCCGCCCGUUCUGACGGUACCUAAAGAGAAAGCCCCGGCUAACUACGUG